UCAUGGCUCAGAUAGAGUUUGAUCAUGGCUCAGGAUGAACGCUAGCGGCGGGCUUAACACAUGCAAGUCGAGGGGCAGCGUAAAAUAAGUUUUCUUAUUCUACGGCGACCGGCGAACGGGUGCGUAACACGUACGCAAUCUACCUUUUGCUGGGGCAUAGCUCGGAGAAAUUCGAAUUAAUACCCCAUAAUAUAAAGUAUUCGCAUGAGUAUUUUAUUAAAGUUUUUUACGGCAAAAGAUGAGCGUGCGCCUGAUUAGUUAGUUGGUGAGGUAACGGCUCACCAAGACUACGAUCGGUAGGGGGCCUGAGAGGGUGAUCCCCCACACUGGUACUGAGACACGGACCAGACUCCUACGGGAGGCAGCAGUGAGGAAUAUUGGUCAAUGGAGGAAACUCUGAACCAGCUACGCCGCGUGCAGGAUGAAGGCCUUAUGGGUUGUAAACUGCUUUUGUAUGAAAAUAAAAAUUUCUACGUGUAGAAAUUUGAAGGUAUCAUACGAAUAAGUGUCGGCUAACUCCGUGCCAGCAGCCGCGGUAAUACGGAGGACACUAGCGUUAUCCGGAUUUAUUGGGUUUAAAGGGUGCGUAGGCGGUUUGUUAAGUCAGUAGUGAAAUCUUGCAGCUUAACUGCAAAAUUGCUGUUGAUACUGGCAGACUUGAGUAAGAUUGGAGCAGCUGGAAUGUGUGGUGUAGCGGUGAAAUGCAUAGAUAUCACACAGAACACCGAUCGCGAAGGCAGGUUGCUAAAUCUUCACUGACGCUGAGGCACGAAAGCGUGGGGAGCAAACAGGAUUAGAUACCCUGUAGUCCACGCUGUAAACGAUGAUCACUAACUAUUGGAUAUUAUUUUCAGUGGCCAAGCGAAAGUGAUAAGUGAUCCACCUGGGGAGUACGACCGCAAGAUUGAAACUCAAAGGAAUUGACGGGGGUCCGCACAAGCGGUGGAGCACGUGGUUUAAUUCGAUGAUACGCGAGGAACCUUACCAAGGCUUAAAUGCAUCACGAAUAAGCUGGAAACAGCUUAGUCUUCGGACGGGGUGCAAGGUGCUGCAUGGUUGUCGUCAGCUCGGGCC
rnacentral:rRNA from 1 species